rnacentral:rRNA from 1 species
UACGUAGGAGGCGAGCGUUGUCCGGAAUUACUGGGCGUAAAGCGUGCGCAGGCGGUUAUGUAAGACAGAUGUGAAAUCCCCGGGCUCAACCUGGGACCUGCAUUUGUGACUGCAUAGCUAGAGUACGGUAGAGGGGGAUGGAAUUCCGCGUGUAGCAGUGAAAUGCGUAGAUAUGCGGAGGAACACCGAUGGCGAAGGCAAUCCCCUGGACCUGUACUGACGCUCAUGCACGAAAGCGUGGGGAGCAAACGGG